UGACGGGCUGUGUAGGGUUGAGGUAGUGACGGGCUGUGUAGGAUUGAGGUUGUGACGGGCUGUGUAGGGUUGAGGUUGUGACGGGCUGUAUAGGGUUGAGGUAGUGACGGGCUGGGUAGGGGUUGAGGUUGUGACGGGCUGUGUAGGGUUGAGGUAGUGACGGGCUGUGUAGGGUUGAGGUAGUGACGGGCUGUAUAGGGUUGAGGUAGUGACGGGCUGUGUAGGGUUGAGGUUGGGACGGGCUGUAUAGGGUUGAGGUGGUGACGGGCUGUAUAGGGUUGAGGUAGUGACGGGCUGUAUAGGGUUGAGGUUGUGACGGGCUGUAUAGAGUUGAGGUUGUGACGGGCUGUGUAGGGUUGAGGUAGUGACGGGCUGUGUAGGGUUGAGGUAGUGACGGGCUGUCUAGGGUUGAGGUAGUGACGGGCUGUAUAGGGUUGAGGUAGUGACGGGCUGUAUAGGGUUGAGGUUGAGUGACAGGCUGUGUAGGGUUGAGGUAGUGAUGGGCUGUGUAGGGUUGAGGUUGUGACGGGCUGUCUUGGGUUGAGGUAGUGACGGGCUGUGUAGAUUUGAGGUAGUGACGGGCUGUAUAGGGUUGAGCUUGUGACGGGCUGUGUAGGGUUGAGGUAGUGACGGGCUGUAUAGGGUUGAGGUAGUGACGGGCUGUGUAGGGUUGAGGUAGUGACGGGCUGUAUAGGGUUGAGGUUGUGACGGGCUGUGUAGGGUUGAGGUAGUGACGGGCUGUGUAGGGUUGAGGUAGUGACGGGCUGUAUAGGGUUGAGGUAGUGACGGGCUGUGUAAGGUUGUGGUUGUGACGGGCUGUGUAGGGUUGAGGUGGUGACGGGCUGUGUAGGGUUGAGGUAGUGACGGGCUGU
ensembl:lncRNA